UGAAGGAUGAAAGAUAGAACAUGAUUUGGAUAUUUAAACAUUUGGAAAGUCUUCAGUCAGUGUCCAUUUUUCCUGUCAGACAAAGAACAGAGAAGAAAAUUCAGACCUGUCUCAGUAAACACAAGAGAUAUAUGACGCACUGCACAUUUAAAGGAGAACUUCGGUCGAUUUAAACAUGCAGCUUCAUUGCUCAAGCUACCCUUGACUUGCCAGUACCGAAGACGCAAACACAUUUGGUCAAACCAUUACAGAGCUCCAUGAACGCAGACUUAGCAUUGAACGCUAACAGCAUGGGGUCAGAACUUUACACUGUGUUUUAAGCGUCUUAACAUGCUCCACAUCUCACACCAAAAGUUAUGCAACAUCAGCAGACACCUUAGCACACAGCACUGUAGCGUGUAUGACUCAAAAUGAAUAAAAAAGUAGUAAAAACAGUGUGUUUGUGCAAGGAGCUACUUACCUGUUUGUUGACAUCCGUGUCUUCCGGUAGCUAGACCAAACUAGUCAAUCCGUCGAGCGUGCGCUUACUCCCUCACUGGCGGAGACGGAAACGCAUUCCAGCAUUUUCGUGUUUCUGUUCAUAAUGUACAUGUCCAUGUUACAGCCUGUCAUGAGCCAUGAGCCUUACAAUAGCCUGUUAAGCCUGUUAAGUGCACACUCGAUGGAUAUGCUAGUUUGGUCUAGCUACCGAAACACACGGAUGUCAACAAACAGGUAAGUAGCUCCUUGCACAAACACACUGUUUUAACUACUUUUUUAUUCAUUGUGAGUCAUAAACGCUACAGUGCUGUGUGCUAAGGUGUCUGCUGAUGUUGCAUAACUUUUGGUGUGAGAUGUGGAGCAUGUUAAGACGCUUAAAACACAGUGUAAAGUUCUGACCCCAUGCUGUUAGCGUUCAAUGCUAAAUCUGCGUUCACGGAGCUCUAUAAUGGCUGGACCAAAUGUUUUCGCGUCUUCGGUACUGGCAAGUCAAGGGUAGCUUGAUCAAUGAAGCUGCAUGUUUAAAUCGACUGAAGUUCUCCUUUAAGGAGUUGUUCACUCCUCACCAAGAUUUCUAUAUGUUUGACAAUGACUUUUUCCUUUUACAUUUACGGUUAUUAAAGCUUUAAUGAGCUUUGAUUCUGGAAUAUUUGAGUUCUUAUAGGUUGAUAUUCUUCCAGUACUCUUUACCAUGUGUUUGCCAUAGUACGUUUAUCUGUCACGGUAAAUGCUUAAUUAAAACCAAAAGUAUAUUUUGAAAGCAAAAUGCAACACACCCUCCUUGGUCACCACUUUGGGUUGGUUCAUAUUUAAGAAACUGUCCAUUAGUUCAGAUGAGCUUCGUAUAAUUUUAAUCAUUUAGCUGUUAGUAACAUUUCAAGAAAUGGCUCUAAAAAUCAGACGCAAAACAUCUUGUCAAACUCUGAUACUCAACGUGGUUUCUUCAAACAAAUGUAGAGCUUUAGUAUGAACAGCUUCAAGAAAAACCUUCUGCAUGGUUCACAGUUUAAAAGGUGUGUAGGUAUUAUGCAUGUUGUUCUUUAUUUUUCCAUCUUUACACAUACUGUGUCCAAUACUGUUUUCCAAUUAAAGAAAUGGCUACUAUCUGUAAUACCCCAUAAAAGGUGUUAAUUGUUCAUGACAGAUUUGUUCUCACCUUGAUUUGUCUGUGAUAUUGACCCCUGUUGCAUGUAUUUAAAGAAGAAGAAACACAAAGUUAUCUAGCCACUCUGAAGUAGUGUAUCCACAAUAUGGUAUGUUGUUCUCUGUUGCUAUUUUCUGCAUUAUUUAAAUAUCUGAAAAUAUCCCAUAAAAAGCUGAGAUCAAAACCACCCUUUUUGUAGCUGAAAGCAACAUGCUCAACCUUCUAGUUAAGACAUUAGCCAUCAGCCAGUAAUCAACUUUUACUGCUUUUCGUGAUUUACUUCAGAGUUGUUUUUUCAGUAGUUUUUCAUUCUCCCUCUGAUCUUUCAUUAGUGAUCAGAGAAAUGGUAUAUUCCCCAUGUCUCCCCUGCAAGAACUAAAUAAGUUUUCUACUAUGUAAGUUGUUUCGUUCUACUCAUGGAUUGACAAAGAAUGAACUGCUGUUGGGUUUGACUGAAUGUUGAUGGAUUGUGGCAUUGUGCAUCUGAAGGCAACAUGGCUAUAAUGCUUAAUAAAACUUUAUUCUUUUAGUACAAGUUAUUGUUUGGUUAUUUAUCCCUUAUCAUACUGUAACAGCAUGCUGGCAUUAAUAUUUCACAUGUUUCCUGCUCAAUUAUUGACUUGUAUUCAUUUUUAAAAGCAAUAGAAUUAGCAAAUCUGCUCUUCAUGUAGACAGGUACAAUAACAAAGGUAUGGCUUAUAAGGUUUUGCCCUCUGGAUAUGGAAAGCAAAAGGUCCAGUGAUCUUAAAGAUCAGUAAAGACAGAAGAGAUGUAAAAAGAAUAUAAAAAGGAAGAGGAAUGCAUGGAAU
ensembl:lncRNA